rnacentral:rRNA from 1 species
AGGACGAACGCUGGCGGCGUGCUUAACACAUGCAAGUCGAGCGGAAAGGCCCUUCGGGGUACUCGAGCGGCGAACGGGUGAGUAACACGUGAGUAACCUGCCCCUAGCUCUGGGAUAGCUCCGGGAAACCGGGAUUAAUACCAGAUACGACCACUUUAGACAUCUGUCGUGGUGGAAAGGAUUCCGGCUAGGGAUGGGCUCGCGGCCUAUCAGCUUGUUGGUGGGGUAACGGCCUACCAAGGCGACGACGGGUAGCCGGCCUGAGAGGGCGACCGGCCACACUGGGACUGAGACACGGCCCAGACUCCUACGGGAGGCAGCAGUGGGAAUAUUGCGCAAUGGGCGAAAGCCUGACGCAGCGACGCCGCGUGGGGGAUGAAGGCCUUCGGGUUGUAAACCCCUUUCAGCAGGGACGAAGCGAAAGUGACGGUACUGCAGAAGAAGCGCCGGCUAACUACGUGCCAGCAGCCGC